GACGAACGCUGGCGGCGUGCCUAAUACAUGCAAGUCGAACGCAGUGGGGACAGGUGAGUAACACGUGGGUAACCUCCCAUCAGAGGGGAUAACACUUGGAAACAGGUGCUAAACCGAUACUGAUGGAUGGCCCCGCGUUGCAUUAGCUAUUGGGUGGGGUAACGGCUCACCAAGGCCACGAUGCAUAGCGUGCCUGCGAGGGUGAUCAGCCACACUGGAAAUGAGAAAGGGCCCAGACUCCGACGGGAGGCAGCAGUAGGGAAUCUUGGGCAAUGGACGAAAGUCGGACCGAGCAACGCCGCGUGAGUGAAGAAGGUUUUCGGGUCGUAAAACUCUGUUGUUAGAGAAGCGGUAUCUAACCAGAAAGCCACGGCUAACUACGUGCCAGCCGCCGCGGUAAUUC
rnacentral:rRNA from 1 species